UUUAGUACGAAAGGACCAAGAAAACAGGACCAAUGCUAACAGCACGUCCUAAACACAAGGCUGAACACAACUAAAGCCAGACAACACGUACUUACAACCCGGAGAUAACGGGCUU
rnacentral:rRNA from 1 species